rnacentral:tRNA from 1 species
GUAGUCGUGGCCGAGCUGGUUAAAGCGAUGGACUAGAAAUCCAUUGGGCUCUGCCUGCGCAGGUUGGAAUCCUGCUGACUACG